CGGCUUCGCGCCACUUUCAUUAUCCCCCUACAAUAAUAUCCUUUAAUAAUAUCCCAUCUUUACAGCGGUAGACACAUGUGCUCUCCACUUUUGCAAAUAGAUGUAUUUUUCUAGCCCAUGUUAAAAGUGAACGAAGCAGUUGCUAGGGUUUUUUUUGUGGGGGGGUUGGUUUCCUCUCCACACAUUGAACGGGUGCUGCUUCUUUUUGGAGAUUUUUUUGUUUUAUCGUUGUAAAAAGAGAAGAUGGAAGAUGCAGAAGGACUGGUGAAUAGUCUGUCGCUGUAUUGUCAAAGUGCUUACAGUGCAGGUAGUGUUAUUGAUGAUCUACUGCAGUGGAGGCACUUCUAGCAAUACCGCUGACACUGACCCCCGCGUGGACCGUAGCCCCUGGGUGGACCGGGCCCCUGGGUGAACCGUAACCCGGCUUGGACCGGGCCCCUGGGUGAACCGUAGCCCCGCGUGGACCGGGCCCCUGGGUGAACCGUAACUCCGCGUGGACCGGGCCCCUGGGUGAACCGGGCCCCUGGGUGAACCGUAACUCUGCGUGGACCAGGCCCAGCUUGGACCGGGCCCCUGGGUGAACCGUAACCCCGCUUGGACCAGGCCCCUGGGUGAACCGUAACUCCGCGUGGACCAGGCCCAGCUUGGACCGGGCCCCUGGGUGAACCGUAACCCCGCUUGGACCAGGCCCCUGGGUGGACCGUAACUCCGCGUGGACCAGGCCCAGCUUGGACCAGGCCCUGCUUGGUUUGACUUGACUUCAUGAUGUCUUUGUGCUAAGGUGCAUC
rnacentral:lncRNA from 1 species